rnacentral:rRNA from 1 species
AUUUACUUCGUGUAAUGACGCUGGGGACGCGAGCGGCGGAUGGGUGAGUAACACGUGGGGAACCUGCCCCAUAGUCUAGGAUACCACUUGGAAACAGGUGCUAAUACCGGAUAAUAAAGCAGAUCGCAUGAUCAGCUUAUAAAAGGCGGCGUAAGCUGUCGCUAUGGGAUGGCCCCGCGGUGCAUUAGCUAGUUGGUAAGGUAACGGCUUACCAAGGCAAUGAUGCAUAGCCGAGUUGAGAGACUGAACGGCCACAUUGGGACUGAGACACGGCCCAAACUCCUACGGGAGGCAGCAGUAGGGAAUCUUCCACAAUGGACGCAAGUCUGAUGGAGCAACGCCGCGUGAGUGAAGAAGGUUUUCGGAUCGUAAAGCUCUGUUGUUGGUGAAGAAGGAUAGAGGUAGUAACUGGCCUUUAUUUGACGGUAAUCAACCAGAAAGUCACGGCUAACUACGUGCCAGCAGCCGCGGUAAUACGUAGGUGGCAAGCGUUGUCCGGAUUUAUUGGGCGUAAAGCGAGCGCAGGCGGAAGAAUAAGUCUGAUGUGAAAGCCCUCGGCUUAACCGAGGAAUUGCAUCGGAAACUGUUUUUCUUGAGUGCAGAAGAGGAGAGUGGAACUCCAUGUGUAGCGGUGGAAUGCGUAGAUAUAUGGAAGAACACCAGUGGCGAAGGCGGCUCUCUGGUCUGCAACUGACGCUGAGGCUCGAAAGCAUGGGUAGCGAACAGGAUUAGAUACCCUGGUAGUCCAUG